rnacentral:rRNA from 1 species
UACAGAGGGUGCGAGCGUUAAUCGGAAUUACUGGGCGUAAAGGGCUCGUAGGCGGCCAACUAAGUCAGACGUGAAAUCCCUCGGCUUAACCGGGGAACUGCGUCUGAUACUGGAUGGCUUGAGUUUGGGAGAGGGAUGCGGAAUUCCAGGUGUAGCGGUGAAAUGCGUAGAUAUCUGGAGGAACACCGGUGGCGAAGGCGGGUCUCUGGGCCACUACUGACGCUGAGGAGCGAAAGCGUGGGGAGCGAACAGG